rnacentral:rRNA from 1 species
UACGGGGGGGGCAAGCGUUGUUCGGAAUUACUGGGCGUAAAGGGCUCGUAGGCGGCCAACUAAGUCAGACGUGAAAUCCCUCGGCUUAACCGGGGAACUGCAUCUGAUACUGGAUGGCUUGAGUUCGGGAGAGGGAUGCGGAAUUCCAGGUGUAGCGGUGAAAUGCGUAGAUAUCAGGAGGAACACCAGCGGCGAAGGCGGCGCUCUGGGCCGGAACUGACGCUGAGGAGCGAAAGCGUGGGUAGCAAACAGG